rnacentral:rRNA from 1 species
UGGUAUAACGAGGGUUUAACUGUCUCUUUUUUCUAGUCAGUUAAACUGAUCUGUCCGUGCAGAAGCGGACAUUACUAUACAAGACGAGAAGACCCUAUGGAGCUUUAGACACCAGCCAACUGUGAAAUAGCGAUUAAUACACCUUAUUCCCAAACAUCCGCAGCCUCUGGUAAAGUGUCUUAGGUUGGGGCGACCACGGGAGAAAGAAAAGCUCCCGAGCAGAACAGGGUUCACCCUGGAACUAAGAACGACAGCUCUAAGUCACAAAAUAUUUGACUGAAAUGAUCCGGACUAACAACCGAUUAACGAACCAAGUUACCCUAGGGAUAACAGCGCAAUCCCCUCCCAGAGUCCCUAUCGACGAGGGGGUUUACGACCUCGAUGUUGGAUCAGGACAUCCUAAUGGUGCAGCC